rnacentral:rRNA from 1 species
AACGCUAGCUACAGGCUUAACACAUGCAAGUCGCGGGGUAACAUCUGGGAGAGCUUGCUCUUCCAGGAUGACGACCGGCGCACGGGUGAGUAACGCGUAUCCAACCUGGCCCAUACCACGGGAUAGCCCGUCGAAAGGCGGAUUAAUACCGUAUGCUGUCAUCAAGAUGCAUAUAUUGAUGACGAAAGGACUGGCGGUAUGGGAUGGGGAUGCGUCUGAUUAGCUUGUUGGCGGGGUAACGGCCCACCAAGGCGACGAUCAGUAGGGGUUCUGAGAGGAAGGUCCCCCACAUUGGAACUGAGACACGGUCCAAACUCCUACGGGAGGCAGCAGUGAGGAAUAUUGGUCAAUGGGCGCAAGCCUGAACCAGCCAAGUAGCGUGAGGGAAGACUGCCCUACGGGUUGUAAACCUCUUUUGUUUGGGAAUAAAGUGCGGGACGUGUCCCGCAUUGCAUGUACCAUUUGAAUAAGGACCGGCUAAUUCCGUGCCAGCAGCCGCGGUAAUACGGAAGGUCCGGGCGUUAUCCGGAUUUAUUGGGUUUAAAGGGAGCGCAGGCCGUGGGUUAAGCGUGUCGUGAAAUUCCGUCGCUCAACGGCGGACGUGCGGCGCGAACUGGUCCACUUGAGUACGCGGGACGUUGGCGGAAUUCGUGGUGUAGCGGUGAAAUGCUUAGAUAUCACGAAGAACUCCGAUUG